UGGGGAAUAUUGCACAAUGGGCGCAAGCCUGAUGCAGCCAUGCCGCGUGUGUGAAGAAGGCCUUCGGGUUGUAAAGCACUUUCAGCGAGGAGGAAGGUGGUGAACUUAAUACGUUCAUCAAUUGACGUUACUCGCAGAAGAAGCACCGGCUAACUCCGUGCCAGCAGCCGCGGUAAUACGGAGGGUGCAAGCGUUAAUCGGAAUUACUGGGCGUAAAGCGCACGCAGGCGGUUUGUUAAGUCAGAUGUGAAAUCCCCGGGCUCAACCUGGGAACUGCAUUUGAAACUGGCAAGCUAGAGUCUCGUAGAGGGGGGUAGAAUUCCAGGUGUAGCGGUGAAAUGCGUAGAGAUCUGGAGGAAUACCGGUGGCGAAGGCGACCCCCCUGGACGAAGACUGACGCUCAGGUGCGAAAGCGUGGGAGCAAAGCAGAAUUAGAGUAUCCCUGGUAGUCCCA
rnacentral:rRNA from 1 species